ensembl:lncRNA novel transcript
AUGCCUGAGCUCAAUCUUGUGUGUUUUAAGGAAACAGAAAAAAAGGGAAAAGAAAAAGUCUUUUCCUGCCUUGUACCUCUGUCUAACUAAAAAGAGAGGCAGCUUCCUCACAGAAAAAUAUCACUGAUCUUAAAACUGAAUUCAAAGAACUGAAGAAGGAAGUUUCUAGUGUUUCACUUCUGUGGAUUUGGCCCAGAAAAAUCCACAGAGAAGGUGUUAAAGUCAGGUAAUUUAUCCUGCAUCCCUUAGAAAGCCCUAGAGCCAAUCAAAACUCUCCCCAAAGGGCUGAAAUCAGGCUCUGAGGGUUGUGGGAGUGACAGAGCCAUGUAAGCUCUCUGGAUUCACAGGUUUAGGUCACUGCUGAUGGAUUCAAUUACUAUGGGAGGACAUUUCAUGCUGUCUAAUUUUCAUUCAAUUGGAUGAUUCUCCCAAAUCCUUCGUUCUUUACCAUAAGUUUACUCAUUAUUUUAGCUUUACCUCAAGGCACUUUCCCCUGGGAAUUUUUCUGAGACCAGUGUGAGUUAGGUGUACUUCCUGUGUUUUGAUUUGUCAUACUAAAAAUCUUACAAGUAUGAAUUUCUACAUGAAAUAAAGGUAAGAUCUUAAUCUUAACAAUCUAGGUCUUAGAUUUCACGGUAUGGGCAUUAAACAAGUGUUUAUUUCUGUAUAGCCUUUUUGAUGAGUACCCAGCAAUCCCACUUCUACGAAUGUCUAUCAGUGAAAUUCCAGCUUAGCUCUGUAGUGGCUUCAUAGAAUCCAGUCAUUGCAGCAAUUUCAGGCAGCAGAGAGUUGGGGCAACCUGCAUGUCCAUCACCAGAAUGAGUAAGUACUGCAGUGAAUACAAGUUUGUGUGAAGUUUCAUGCUCUGCAGGAGUCACAACUAAUGAAGCAGAGGUACAUGUAUACCAAAAACAGGUGGAUUUUUCAGUGCAAAGUAAAAUCUAAGAAACAAAAUGUAUAUCAGGAUGUAUAGUACAAUACCAAAAUUAAAAUUACAGAGUUACACAAAAUACAGUGGGUGAGGCAGUAGCUGAAUGACUAAUGCCAGAGGGAAUGGUGGCAAAUUGUGUGAAGAGGGGAAGAAACUAAGUUAAAUUAUCUGAUUGGCACACUUGCCACCUCUUGGAAGACACCUGAUUACACUCAGUCCCCUGCCCUCUUGCUGGCCAGGAAGAUAAUUGGUCACAGGUGGCCCCCUGACCCCACCUCACUCCACAGUUUCUUAUGGCAAAGCGUUUCCUUGACAGAAAAUGCUAAAUGUCGCCAAAGCCCCUCCCUUGGGGUCCUGGUUUCUAAAAAGUCUUUUUUUCUGUAAUCAAGAGGUUAAUGUUUGGGUGUGUUGGAAGGAUACAGAAAAAGGCAUAGCACAGUAUGGACAAUGGUCUUGAAAUAAAAUUCCUCCUUAUUCUGCCUGAAAUUUCCUGACAUGAUGACAUGGUAUUUAUGAGGAUGUGGGUCACUGGGCGAAAGCCUUCCUUGGUCUUGAAUCAUGGAUUUUGGGUAUUGUUGGUUUUGGUGAAUGGAAUAUAUAAGGAAAGAAAAAAAGGGCCACAAAUAUGAAAAUGCUCUAAAAGAAACAAUAAUUUCACAAUACUGAACGUGAGCCAUUCAGGAAAUGUCCAUUUUAAAUUUUAAAGAUAGCUCCUGGGUGAACGGUGGUUUUUGUAAUGCAGUGGUUGUCACGUGUGCCACCCACGCGAAAUGGAAACUGGGCAGAAAUAUCUCCUUAUGGGUCUCUCUCUCUCCCUCUCUCGCUCUCUACUUCAGCUUGGGUAAUUUGUUUCACUAAACUCAACUCAAGCUCUCUUAAACCCAGGUCUGGUGCUUAAAACAAUAUGUCUUUAUUCCCUUACAGGUCUAGGGGUCAGAAAUCUGCAAUCAGUUUCGGUGGACCAAAAUGAAAAUGUCAAACAGGGUGUCUGACACCCUCCAGAAGCACCAGAGGAGAAGCAGCUUUCCUUGGCCUUCCCAGCCAAAUCUCCCUCUGCCUCUCUCCCCUGGUGACGACAAUGGCUGGGGUCUUGACUUGCCAAGUGCAGCGUGGCCCGUACUGGUCACCUGGGUAUAGCUUUACUGAAUUUCGCAGAUCUGGAAACGGAGAAGGGACUGGAUCUCCAAACUUGGACUGCCUUGGACUGACCCUGGCCUGGAAGGUGUGGGCUCAGGACUCCGAGCUCAAGUCAGUCUGUUCCCCCAACCCCUAACCCACUGCAUCCGGGUGAGGAGUUGGGCCCGAGCGCCACAGCGCAGAUAGGGUUGUUAGGAGCGAAAGACUGGAGACCCAGGGACUGUGGGGCUGGGCUGGUGGGGCCACUGCUACCGACUAAGCAGUACGGGCCGCCUGGAAGACCGAAGGCGGAGUUCGCUGAUGCGGAAGCCAAGGCACAGGGCAAUAAGGAUCCGCGCCAUUUCUUGUGAUGUCACCUGAAGCCUUGGCGGGUAGCUGCCUCUCAUCCAUUCGGAGGACAGGGCUCCAGCCACCGGCAGCUCUGAAAGAGUUUGAAGAAUUUAUUGUUCACAGAUGGUAUUUAAAUGGACUUAUUUCUAAAAGUCACAUUCCUUUAUUACUUAUUUGUUAUUAGAAGUACCCAUUUUCAUAUGUGUUUAAAACUAUUUGUGUCUCAAAUUCUCAGGAGAUUGAUGCAUCCCAGUUUACUCUUUUUGGCAUAUGUUUUUACUCAUAAAUUAGGUUAAAUUUCAUACUUGUUUUAUAAAAUUUAGUUAUUUGGUUACAUUAAAAUAUUUGUAUCC